rnacentral:rRNA from 1 species
GACGAACGCUGGCGGCGUGCCUAACACAUGCAAGUCAAGGGAGAAAGAGGUAGCAAUAUCUCGUGUAAACCGGCGCAAGGGUGCGUAACGCGUAGGCAAUCUGCCCUAAGGACGGGAAUAACUUCGAGAAAUCGAAGAUAAUACCCGAUAAUGCAGCGGCACCGCAUGGUGACAGUUGUUAAAGGUCGCAAGACGCCUUUGGAUGAGCCUGCGUCCCAUUAGAUUGUUGGCGGGGUAACGGCCCACCAAGUCGACGAUGGGUAGCUGGUCUGAGAGGACGAUCAGCCACACUGGAACUGAGAUACGGUCCAGACUCCUACGGGAGGCAGCAGUGAGGAAUAUUGCGCAAUGCCCGCAAGGGUGACGCAGCGACGCCGCGUGAAGGAUGAAGGCCCUCUGGGUCGUAAACUUCUUUUGUGAGGGAAUAACGAACCGCUACAGGCGGUUGUGAAUGUACCUUGCGAAUAAGCAUCGGCUAACUACGUGCCAGCAGCCGCGGUAAUACGUAGGAUGCGAGCGUUGUCCGGAAUUACUGGGUGUAAAGGGAGCGCAGGCGGGUUAGUAAGUCGGUGGUGAAAUCUUCGGGCUCAACCCGAAAGCUGCCACUGAUACUGCUGAUCUUGGGUGCAGAAGAGGUUGAUGGAAUUCUUGGUGUAGCGGUGAAAUGCGUAGAUAUCAAGAAGAACACCGAUGGCGAAGGCAGUCAACUGGUCUGUUACCGACGCUCAUGCUCGAAAGCGUGGGGAUCAAACAGGAUUAGAUACCCUGGUAGUCCACGCCUUAAACGAUGAAUACUCGAUGUCAGCCCGCAAGGGUUGGUGUCCAAGCUAACGCAUUAAGUAUUCCACCUGGGAAGUACGAUCGCAAGGUUGAAACUCAAAGGAAUUGACGGGGGCCCGCACAAGCAGUGGAGCAUGUGGUUUAAUUCGAUGCAACGCGAAGAACCUUACCUGGGUUUGAAAAGCUCUGUAAACCGAUGAAAGUCGGGUAGUGUAGCAAUACACGCGGAGUACAGGUGCUGCAUGGCUGUCGUCAGCUCGUGCCGUGAGGUGUUAGGUUAAGUCCUGCAACGAGCGCAACCCCUGCACUUAGUUGCCAUCAGGUCAUGCUGGGCACUCUAGGUGGACUGCCUACGCAAGUAGUGAGGAAGGUGGGGAUGACGUCAAGUCCUCAUGGCCCUUACACCCAGGGCUACACACGUGCUACAAUGGCCGCUACAACGGGAUGCAAUGCCGUAAGGCGGAGCCAAUCCCUAAAAAGCGGUCUCAGUUCGGAUUGAGGGCUGCAACUCGCCCUCAUGAAGCUGGAAUUGCUAGUAAUCGCAGAUCAGCCACGCUGCGGUGAAUACGUUCCCGGGCCUUGUACACACCGCCCGUCAAGCCAUGGAAGCUGGGGGUACCCGAAGCCGCUGUGCGAACCGCAAGGACGCAGGCGUUUAAGGUAAAACCAGUGACUGGGGCU